UUGUGACCCCAAAUCAGAUUCUUCCUUUCUGUCGUUGGCAAAGUAUCAGAAGAUACAAAGUGGAGAACUGAAUCCACAUAUGUUGGUUGGUAAGUUUCUAUUUAUAUGUCACUACUUUUAUAUAGUCUCUUAGUUAAACAUUAACAAACGAUGUUUAACCCACAAGUUUACCUCUUCCAUGAUGCAGAUGUAAUUGGCCAGAUAAUAACUAUUGGAGAACUUGAGAACCUCGAGGCUAACAACAAACCAACCUGCAAAAUCGAUUUCGAAAUAAGAGACGAAAAGUGAGCAUUAUUUAUAUAUUUACAUACUCUUUAUAUUCUAACAAUAUAUUAUUAUGCUCCGACUUUGUAUCUUCAAAGUUUGCAUUAUUAUUGAUGAUAACAGUGAUGAAAGGAUGGCGUGUACUUUGUGGGGAACCUUAGCUGAGCAGGUACAUAGAGCUUGCGAAAAUUCAGAUGGAAGCAAUGUCAUAGUCAUCCUCAGAUUUAUGAAAAUUAAAGCUUACAAGGGUAACUUGAUGUUUAACCUAAAUACUACUCACAAGAUCGGCUACUCUUUAUGCUAUAACGUUUACAUAACCAAUUAAUAUUGUAGGUGUUAGGAGUGUAACAAAUUCCUAUGAUACUUCACAAGUGUUUGUCAACUCCCCCUUCCCUGAAGUCGACUCAUUCAGAGAAUCGUAUACUUUCUAAACUUAUCUACUAUAUUUAUCAUCCCCUUAUAACUCUGCAAUUUACAAUGUUUAACCGCAAAAAAUUAACCAUACUAACUUAACAUCAAUUAGGCUGCCUACAGAUGGUUUGGUAUUGGUCCCCCGAGAAAGGCGUCCAAGAAUGGAGUUGGUUGUGGUAAACAAUGAGGAUUACCAAGAUGUCCCCAGGAGAACUAUUGAGGAAAUCAAGAAUUCCCUAGAGGUAAAAUAAUAUUAACUUUAACUCUUUCUGUAAUAGUUCGUAUAUAUUUGAUAACUUCAUUAAUUCACAGGUUGGCAGGGCUAGACUACUCUGUACAAUCUAUGGAAUUGAUACAGACUGGGCUUGGUACUACAUAAGUUGUAGGUCAUGCAAUAAGAAAGUUAACCACAUCCAUUCUGGUGUACAUGGAGUUAAUAACAAAGGCGUCAAACCAAGAUUCUGGUGUGAUACCUGCAAGAGUGUUGUUACAAAUGUCGUAGCACGGUAUAUUUGUCUAUAUGUCUACUAUUAUUAACAUAUCAUACUAGAUUUUUAGGGACAUGUUUAUUCCAGAACAAAAUUUUAAUUCAAUAAUCUACAUGUUUAUGUGCUAGGUUUAUGCUUUAUGCUAAUGUCAUGGACACCACUGGGGAGCUGAAAUUGUUAUUGUUUGACUCUAUUUGCACGGAGAUAAUAGGGCAGUCUGCUCCAUCUGUUCUUGACGGCUCUGUUGAUGAGGUUAACUACUACCAGCUAUAUUACGCUAAAAGUCAUAGAUACGUGGUAUUAUCUCUAAUGUGUUACAAAUCAAUUCUGAUAUUUUUAAUGUUCAGAUUGAGGAUCCAGACAAUUUGCCAGAUCCCCUUAAAAAUCUUAUUGGGAAAACUUUUCUGUUUCUGGUGUGUAUCGAGAGGGCAAAUAUAUGGGAUGGGAAAGAUAUCUACAGGGUUUCUAAGGCUCUGUUGAAGCAUGGUGUACUACCAGAAGAGUUAUUGGAGUAUUCUACAGAAAUGUCCAGAGAAACUUCCAUUGAAUCUGCAGACAAGGUUAUAUUCAUAUAACUAUUCACUACAACAACUAUAUCUUCAAUGUUAAUUUAUUAAAAUAACCAAUGUUUAGUUAUACAUUCUAUUUAUACUAAUUAUGAAAUUCGUAGGGCAUUCUCAUGUUGGAAAAUACUCAAGGAACACCAGAUUCUAUGACUCCUUCUUCUAAGCGUGUUUAUGGUUCUAAGGACGGACCUGUGGACCAAGCAUCUACUUCUAAGAAGUCGUGUAUUGAACCAAUAGACUUGGAAAAGGUAAAUCCUGAUUUUAAAAAUGAAGCAGAACUGAACAAGAGCAGUGUUGAAUCAAAGACUGAAGGUGUGAUUGAGACAAAAGCGGACCUUGGUAAAAAUGUGGGCGAAACAAUCGGAACCACUAUUGACAAAGCAGACAAUGCUGGACCAAGAGCUAUGGUUGGAGUGAAGGUCAAGAUUGAGAAGAAGUAAGGGUCCUGCAGUCACUAUUGUAUGCUUCAAAUAAAGCCUUCCUUGGUUAUUUCAAUCUGUUUUUUAAACUUUCAAACUCAUUUUCAUUUCCUUUGUUUGAAUAAGUGUAGUUUAGCUACACUCCUAUUUUAUGUUCAAGUUUAUUAAUAAAGUUUCCAUAUUCUUAUUUUCUGUUGACUUCAAUAAUAUAUUACUAGAGAUGUAUUAAGCUUCUAAGCACUUCUUAUAUUUUGAAAGUGGUUAACGUGUCUAAAUGUAUAAUCACCCAAAAAAAGAUAUUUAAACAUUAAAGGAAACCAUGAUUUUUACCUUUUUACUCGAUGUCUAUAGCCUAUAUCUUCAUUGUAAUCCUUCUUCUUCGAAUCUGAAAUUUAAAGAGAAAAAUACUAAAUUACAUAUGCAACAUUAAUUUAAAUCAGCUCACUCUAGGUACGUGUUUUCUGCUUCUUUCCUCAUAUUUUAAAAAAUGCAGAACUUAUGGAUUUCAUGAUUUUAAAAGGCACAAAGUAGUAAGCAUGUAAUUUGACAAACAGAUUCCAUAUUAACUUUGCCAAACAGACAAUACCUUCAAACACUAGCAUCGUAUGCUGCUAGACACAACCACCACAUAACAACAUUCCUGCAUACUAAUUGAAAGCAAAAUCCCGUAAGCAUUUAUAUAAGAUAUAUUAUUUUGAUUUGUAUUGCCUGAGAAUCCCUUAAAACCAGCACUUUGUUAUAUAAUUAUAUGGAUAUUUUAAAGAAAACAAAGAAGAAUAUUGUCUCUGCUAUCUAAAAUCAAGGAGAAAUUAACUACUGCAAAUCUAUAGUCAUUACGACCUGCUACUAAAAUAACAUGUUCUAGAGAGCAACUUUCUGACCACCUCAACGAUGAAGGAAAAUAAGAAAAACAAUAAACCAAGUGAUGAGUCUCAGCACAAAUCUGCUAAAAGAACGAGACUUACACAACCUCCAACUAAUCAUACUCAACCAACAACAUCUACAUUGGCUACACCUACUGGUUCUGUCACACUUAAAAAUGCUUUGAAUAGAGUUCUUUGCGAUAUUACCAACCUAAGUGGGAGCAACAAUCGGCUGGAUGUCACACAAUCCUCUAUUCACCAUCCAUCUCCUGCAACACACAUCACACUAGGUUAUUGUUUUUUACAAUUUCACCUGACUUUUUCCUGUUCUCAUGUUAGUAUUGAUUAGUAUAUGAAACGCUUAUUUCAAACUGAAAACAAUCUUUUACUUCCCAGUUUCAGGCUCAAACUUAUCCACGUCUUCAUUCGACAAUCAUGGUAGCUUAAAUACCAACAAUUUUGUCACUCCUGUGCUUCAAAACAUAACCAAUAUAGAACACCAAGCUACUCCCGUUGAUACCAUAGCUACACUGUCUGCCAAAUACAACACACCU
rnacentral:lncRNA from 1 species